UUAAAGCUUUAGUGCGUAACUUUUUCUUAUAGUGAAUGUCCGUUACAUUCAAGCCAUUACCAACUGAGUUGCUACAAAGACUUUCAGCUCUAUACAAUUCUCUCUGUUUU